AUGUGUACAAGCAGAUCGUACUGGUGAGCAAAGGGAUAUAUUGGUGUGUGGACGUAGUGUUUUAAUUAGUACGUUUGGCGAUCGGUCUUUCCAAACAGCUAAUAGCUCAUAAAUAAGGCUAUAAUAGUGGCUAAGUUGAGCAAAUAACUAGAUCUCCUCAAACAAUAAAUUGAGCAAAUAGCGUGUGAGGUUGUAGUGACAUGUUACAAUGUUCACGGGGUUAUAGUAAGCAUCGAGAUGUACGAGGUUGCCAGCCAUCCAAUGCAUCAGUGAAAGAGCCCAUAUAUAGGAGAUAUUUUGUUUUGGUGACUAACAAAAUAGCCCAAUGCAAUGGAUUUCAAAAUAUAUAUUGUAAGUUCUUAACUUGAAAAUAUAUACUUAUUAGAAUAUAAAAUUUGCAAGCAAAUAUCCAAAAAAAAAAAGGCCAAGCCACCUGCACAGAUAUACUCCAUUUAUCUAGGCUUAGAAGAUCCCACCAACUCGAGGGGGUGGCAGAUUCAUCACCACGUUCACUAGAUUCUUUUAUAUAGUAGAGAUUAGAGCCACCACAGAGAAGGCAUAUCCAUUCUUUCUAUAUAGGUGGUACCCACUAUAAGCAAUUACUCCUAUAAAGUAGCCACCAGGUGAAGCCACGUCAGCACUAUUUUACAGCCAUCGGAUCAGCAUUACUUGCACGUCCUAGAUCGCUCGGUCUAAGCGCAGCACAUGUUCCCUUCUCUAACAACCCAUCAAUUCAUUGGUCCAGCCCAGCAUGUCUCUCACAUCCCUUCCCUAUCCUCAGCAGCAGCAGUAGCAGCAUAGUGGUCAUGCCUUUCUGUCUCUACGUUUCCUCUUCUUGGAACCGUCGGCCCGGAUUAACUCCUUCCACUGUAAUAACUCGACGGCAACGCCCGUCCAUAAAGUGAUACGGUGGCCAUCCAAUGCGAGGAAUCGACGGGACAUGACCGCGCGCUGCGAGCAGAGAGAGAAGAGGAGACCCGUGCGUGUGGCAGCAGGAGGCGUAGUGGUGGGUUGUGGUGGUGUCUGCGCUCGGAGCACGGCGUUCGGUGGGUUCGCCGCCGGUAAUUUAGGUACGGGGCAAUGCUCUUGAUUUGUCGUGUUUGCUUCUCUGCCUAAUCUGCGUUUGUUCGAUUCCUGAUUCUGUGAUGCUUUAGUCAAUCAGUUUCAAUUUUAGCCUAAUCCCCUAAUGCGUGAAGCUCUGCGUUUGUUCGAUUCCUGAUUCUGUGAUGCUUCAGUGAAUCAGUUUCAAUUUCAGCGGAUCAGCGCGCGGAACACUUUCAGAUGGCAUCACUUAAGAUCAAUGCAUAUCCCAGUUCAUGGAUCCGGCUUCCAUCCCCAAUUUCCUGUAUUUAUUUUGUUCAGUUCAUUGGAUGUAUUUAUAUGACUCUGAAUGAGAUAAUCAGCGAUUUGAUGCAAACAUCAAAAUGGUUUUCUUCGCAUUCACUUAGCCUAUGUUCUUUCUUUUAAUAUUGUAAUAUUAUGUGAAUAAAAAGCACCUUUUUGUUGUUUCCGAUAGUAA